AGCGCCGCCGCUCGCCGCGGGCGCCUGAGGCACAACCCGCAGCGCUCCAGGGGCCCAGGAGGGGCCGGCGAGGCGCGUUCCCGCAGCGACAGCGAGACCACCCCGCCGCGGAGAGGGGCCGAGCGGGGACACAGAGCCAGGACAGGCGAACGAGGGAUGGCCACUGGGCGGAGGGCCGGAUCCGCGCCCCUGCCCGUCCCCGCACCCGCCAAGCAGAUUUUUCCCUUGAAGGCCUGUAUUAUGUGGAGGAUUCGAGCAGUCAGAUACUCUACUUAUAAGACGUGAAAACAGAAAACUCUUACAGACUAUGCAAGUAUCAUCUUUAUGGUAAACUCAAAUUCCAUUUUCAAAUAACUGUGACUUAAAAGCUCUUGUCCUUUUGCAAAUGAUUU
rnacentral:lncRNA from 1 species